CUUAGAAAGGGCUUGGCCAAGUUUUAUCAUUAACUAGUGACCUCACUUUAUAAUUAAUAGAACCUCCCUCUAGGGAAAAUACACCCUAGAUAUUUAUGUUACCCUAACACUAGAUGGCACUAGUACUCCAUACAAAAAAAUUGAAGCAUUCCUU